CUAUUUACCUGGCAGAGGAAAUGCUAUGGUUUUCCAGAAUUACAAAUCCAUUGCCUCUAGAUUUAUCUAUUCUUAUAGGUUUCCCAAAUGUGGAAAACUUGAGUACAUAAUUUGUGGUACUACCAC
rnacentral:snRNA from 10 species